AGAGUUUGAUCCUGGCUCAGGACGAACGCUGGCGGCGUGCUUAACACAUGCAAGUCGAGCGGAAAGGCCCUUCGGGGUACUCGAGCGGCGAACGGGUGAGUAACACGUGAGUAACCUGCCCUGGACUUUGGGAUAACCCUCGGAAACGGGGGCUAAUACCGGAUACGACAUUCCACCGCAUGGUGUGUUUGUGGAAAGUUUUUCGGCCUGGGAUGGGCUCGCGGCCUAUCAGCUUGUUGGUGGGGUGAUGGCCUACCAAGGCGACGACGGGUAGCCGGCCUGAGAGGGCGACCGGCCACACUGGGACUGAGACACGGCCCAGACUCCUACGGGAGGCAGCAGUGGGGAAUAUUGCACAAUGGGCGGAAGCCUGAUGCAGCGACGCCGCGUGAGGGAUGACGGCCUUCGGGUUGUAAACCUCUUUCAGCAGGGACGAAGCGAGAGUGACGGUACCUGCAGAAGAAGCGCCGGCCAACUACGUGCCAGCAGCCGCGGUAAGACGUAGGGCGCGAGCGUUGUCCGGAUUUAUUGGGCGUAAAGAGCUCGUAGGCGGCUUGUCGCGUCGACUGUGAAAACCCGCGGCUCAACCGCGGGCCUGCAGCCGAUACGGGCAGGCUAGAGUUCGGUAGGGGAGACUGGAAUUCCUGGUGUAGCGGUGAAAUGCGCAGAUAUCAGGAGGAACACCGAUGGCGAAGGCAGGUCUCUGGGCCGAUACUGACGCUGAGGAGCGAAAGCGUGGGGAGCGAACAGGAUUAGAUACCCUAGUAGUCC
rnacentral:rRNA from 1 species